rnacentral:tmRNA from 1 species
CAAGGUCCAGUUACCUUGUAAAUCCGCUGGACAACGUAUAGUCGCCAACGACGAACGUUACGCUCUAGCCGCUUAAUACCGGCCAGACUCUGCACCGGUUCUCUCACGGGCCGGGCUGGGCAACCAGCAGCGGAGCCAUAUACGUGAGAUCGUGCUGUUCGGGGUUACUUCGGCCAGCAUUAAAUCCAAUGUAACUCGCUGCAUGUCAGCCUGUCGGUCGGCGGUCAUGCGGUUAA